rnacentral:piRNA from 1 species
UCUAAGGACCUCCAAUAUUGCAGGACCUCA